UAGGGAAUCUUCCGCAAUGGACGAAAGUCUGACGGAGCAACGCCGCGUGAGUGAUGAAGGUUUUCGGAUCGUAAAACUCUGUUGUUAGGGAAGAACAAGUACCGUUCGAAUAGGGCGGUACCUUGACGGUACCUAACCAGAAAGCCACGGCUAACUACGUGCCAGCAGCCGCGGUAAUACGUAGGUGGCAAGCGUUGUCCGGAAUU
rnacentral:rRNA from 1 species